rnacentral:rRNA from 1 species
CUGGGCUAGAAUGCCUCUGACAGCCUGAGAGAUCAGGUCUCCUGGGUAAAACCAGGCAGAGUGCAAGGUGCUGCAUGGCUGUCGUCAGCUCGUGUCGUGAGAUGUUGGGUUAAGUCCCGCAACGAGCGCAACCCUUAUCGAUAGUUGCUAGCGGUUCGGCCGAGCACUCUAUUGAGACUGCCGUUGACAAAACGGAGGAAGGUGGGGAUGACGUCAAGUCCUCAUGGCCUUUAUGUCCAGGGCUACACACGUGCUACAAUGGCAAGUACAAAGCGCUGCAAACUCGCGAGAGGGAGCCAAUCGCAAAAAGCUUGUCUCAGUUCGGAUUGGAGUCUGCAACUCGACUCCAUGAAGCUGGAAUCGCUAGUAAUCCCGGAUCAGCACGCCGGGGUGAAUACGUUCCC